rnacentral:rRNA from 1 species
UACGUAGGGGGCAAGCGUUGUCCGGAAUCAUUGGGCGUAAAGAGCGUGUAGGCGGCCAGAAAAGUCCGCUGUGAAAACUCGAGGCUCAACUUCGAGCUGUCGGUGGAAACUUUCUGGCUAGAGUCCGGAAGAGGAGAAUGGAAUUCCUGGUGUAGCGGUGAAAUGCGUAGAUAUCGGAAGGAACAUCAGUGGCGAAGGCGACUUCCUGGACCAAUACUGACGCUCAGGUGCGAAAGCGUGGGGAGCAAACAGG